rnacentral:rRNA from 1 species
UGGGGAAUUUUGGACAAUGGGGGAAACCCUGAUCCAGCCAUCCCGCGUGUGCGAUGAAGGCCUUCGGGUUGUAAAGCACUUUUGGCAGGAAAGAAACGUCGCGGGUUAAUACCCCGCGAAACUGACGGUACCUGCAGAAUAAGCACCGGCUAACUACGUGCCAGCAGCCGCGGUAAUACGUAGGGUGCAAGCGUUAAUCGGAAUUACUGGGCGUAAAGCGUGCGCAGGCGGUUCGGAAAGAAAGAUGUGAAAUCCCAGAGCCUAACUUUGGAACUGCAUUUUUAACUACCGGGCUAGAGUGUGUCAGAGGGAGGUGGAAUUCCGCGUGUAGCAGUGAAAUGCGUAGAUAUGCGGAGGAACACCGAUGGCGAAGGCAGCCUCCUGGGAUAACACUGACGCUCAUGCACGAAAGCGUGGGGAGCAAACAGGAUUAGAUACCCUGGUAGUCCACGCCCUAAACGAUGUCAACUAGCUGUUGGGGGCCUUCGGGCCUUGGUAGCGCAGCUAACGCGUGAAGUUGACCCGCCUGGGGAGUACGGUCGCAAGGAUUAAAAACUCAAAGGAAUUGACGGGGGUCAUAGCUGUUUUUCCU